rnacentral:rRNA from 1 species
AUUGAACGCUGGCGGCAUGCCUUACACAUGCAAGUCGAACGGUAACAGGUUAAGCUGACGAGUGGCGAACGGGUGAGUAAUAUAUCGGAACGUGCCCAGUCGUGGGGGAUAACGCAGCGAAAGCUGUGCUAAUACCGCAUACGAUCUAUGGAUGAAAGCGGGGGAUCGCAAGACCUCGCGCGAUUGGAGCGGCCGAUAUCAGAUUAGCUAGUUGGUGGGGUAAAGGCCCACCAAGGCGACGAUCUGUAGCUGGUCUGAGAGGACGACCAGCCACACUGGAACUGAGACACGGUCCAGACUCCUACGGGAGGCAGCAGUGGGGAAUUUUGGACAAUGGGCGCAAGCCUGAUCCAGCAAUGCCGCGUGCAGGACGAAGGCCUUCGGGUUGUAAACUGCUUUUGUACGGAACGAAACGGUUCUCUCUAAUACAGGGGGCUAAUGACGGUACCGAAAGAAUAAGCACCGGCUAACUACGUGCCAGCAGCCGCAGUAA